CCUGCAGUCGAACGGUGAGCAGAGCUUGCUCUGUGGAUCAGUGGCGAACGGGUGAGUAACACGUGAGCAAUCUGCCCCUGACUCUGGGAUAAGCGCUGGAAACGGCGUCUAAUACCGGAUACGAGCUGCGACCGCAUGGUCAGUAGCUGGAAAGAAUUUCGGUCAGGGAUGAGCUCGCGGCCUAUCAGCUUGUUGGUGAGGUAAUGGCUCACCAAGGCGUCGACGGGUAGCCGGCCUGAGAGGGUGACCGGCCACACUGGGACUGAGACACGGCCCAGACUCCUACGGGAGGCAGCAGUGGGGAAUAUUGCACAAUGGGCGCAAGCCUGAUGCAGCAACGCCGCGUGAGGGAUGACGGCCUUCGGGUUGUAAACCUCUUUUAGCAGGGAAGAAGCGAAAGUGACGGUACCUGCAGAAAAAGCGCCGGCUAACUACGUGCCAGCAGCCGCGGUAAUACGUAGGGCGCAAGCGUUAUCCGGAAUUAUUGGGCGUAAAGAGCUCGUAGGCGGUCUGUCGCGUCUGCUGUGAAAACCCGAGGCUCAACCUCGGGCCUGCAGUGGGUACGGGCAGACUAGAGUGCGGUAGGGGAGAUUGGAAUUCCUGGUGUAGCGGUGGAAUGCGCAGAUAUCAGGAGGAACACCGAUGGCGAAGGCAGAUCUCUGGGCCGUAACUGACGCUGAGGAGCGAAAGGGUGGGGAGCAAACAGGCUUAGAUACCCUGGUAGUCCACCCCGUAAACGUUGGGAACUAGUUGUGGGGUCCAUUCCACGGAUUCCGUGACGCAGCUAACGCAUUAAGUUCCCCGCCUGGGGAGUACGGCCGCAAGGCUAAAACUCAAAGGAAUUGACGGGGACCCGCACAAGCGGCGGAGCAUGCGGAUUAAUUCGAUGCAACGCGAAGAACCUUACCAAGGCUUGACAUAUAGAGGAAACGUCUGGAAACAGUCGCCCCGCAAGGUCUCUAUACAGGUGGUGCAUGGUUGUCGUCAGCUCGUGUCGUGAGAUGUUGGGUUAAGUCCCGCAACGAGCGCAACCCUCGUUCUAUGUUGCCAGCACGUAAUGGUGGGAACUCAUGGGAUACUGCCGGGGUCAACUCGUAGGAAGGUGGGGAUGACGUCAAAUCAUCAUGCCCCUUAUGUCUUGGGCUUCACGCAUGCUACAAUGGCCGGUACAAAGGGCUGCAAUACCGUGAGGUGGAGCGAAUCCCAAAAAGCCGGUCCCAGUUCGGAAUGAGGUCU
rnacentral:rRNA from 1 species